UGGUACAAGAGAAGUGAAGGGUUACGUAGUAAGCAUAAAUAAUAUUUUGUAGUCAUAUGGAUUUGAACAUGAAAUUAGCGAUUCUUCAGUAAUUGGAUAUUUACACAAACGGCUGAAAUGGAUACUACUUUUUUUUAUAUCGCAUCUGAAUCUAUUUGUCAAAAUUAUUAAAAGAAAGAAUGACUAUUAAUUAGAUAGAAGAAGUCUGCCUCUUUACCUUACAUUGAAGGCUGUUUAAACGAGUGUUUGGAUUAGUUAAUAGCGAACUAAGUAUAAUCGUUGACUUUGAUGAGUCAGACAAAGAAUGUGUUAGAAAGCGGUUUUGGCAUAA